CCAGGUGCCCAGGGCCAGUGCCCCUCUGGCCAGCUGGAUGGAGGGCACUCGGGGCUGGGGCCUUGGCCUCCCGCAGCAUCAGGUGGGGCUUACCUGGGUCCAGGGAAGGAGAGGACCCCGGCCUUGGGUGAGGAUCAAGGAAAGCCAAAUGUAGGAGCAGUAUUAAGUAAGGUGCAGGAAGGGCCCAGUCCAGAGUGGCUGAAAACUGUGUGUGAAACUUCCUUGUUCGGACCGUCCAGAAGGACAGGUGGGGGUGACAGAAACACCUUUACCCCCCAAAAGGAAGGAGAUGGAGGAUGGACAGAGGGCAAAGAUGUGAGGUUCUCUGAGGAGGACACAGUGGGACUCGUAGGCCCAGUGGCCCCACCCGGAGCAGCACGUGACCACAGAUCCUCUGAUGGAAACCACCAGGCUGACAGAGUGUUUGGGAGGUGGAUUCAUUCUGGGCCAGAUGGAAGAGGGAUAAGGACCCAGCCCUUGGCCCAAGCACCUCUGGCUCCGGGCCCCAGGGGAAGGAGGCCCCGGGAAACUGGCCCCUGGGUGUCAGGCAAGUGUGUCUCAGGCCUUGAAAGAAAGGGGCCGCCAGCCUCACUCCUCCCCCCCCCCCCCGCCCGUCCUCAACCCCACCUCCCCUUCCCCUUUGGCUUCACCUGUGAGAAGUCAAUAUUGAUGUUUUAUGACCCAGGAUAAACACACAUUUUUUCCUCCCAUGGAGGGGUUAUCUGGUCCGGAGGGUUAAUCAGUGACCACUGGGGGUGGGGGAAGCACCUUUCCUCUCUGAGAAGAAAGCACCUAUUCAAUUCAAUCCCUUGGCCUGGCCCCUUCCCUCUUCCCCACCCCCCCACCCUCGGCUUCCACCGUGUCCGGCCCAUCCCUGGAGACUGACCUGGCCCAGCCAGUGCGUAAGGACAGGACUUUUGGGGAUCUGAGGCUGUGGUCUGAGUGGUUGAGGGCACUGUUAAAUAGGACGCAUCCGAGGAGAGCAUCCUUGAAGCCGUUUGCCCUGUGCACGUUGUGGUUUACACCGCAAUGACCUGUUCAAUCUGUCGGCAGGACAGGUGGGGCCUGAACGCGGCUGCCAUGGGCCCGGCCAGGUCUGCGUGGGAGAGGGGGCGAGCGCUGUCCUUAGGGAGCUGUGCGCGGAGCAGCGUCGUGUUGCAGAGCACGCACGGAGAGGCCACCCGAGAUGAUACCGGCUGCUCCUCGCCGUGUGCACCUUACAUGGGCUGCAGGGCCUCUGGGCCUCAGGGGCCUCACCUCUCCUCCCAGGGUGAGGGGUUCAAGGAUCCUAAGAGAUCUCAUGCUUCGAGUGAGGAGGAACUACAGUGACUACAAUUCAAGGUUAUUGCGGUCUUCUCGGCCUUCUCCCCCAAGGGAGUAAUUCACCUCUGGGUGUGGUGGCCCUUUGGCUUAGGGGAAACAUCUCUUGAUGGCCUCUUGAGUUUGGAAGACUUAAUGUCCUUGAACGUUGCCUGGGGGGCAAGCUGUGGGGGGUGGGAGAGCAAGAUUGAACUGCAGGUGAAAGGUGAAAGGUGAGGGGAUGGGGCUGUUGCAGCACAGGCCAUGGGGUGACCCCGGGCCCUGGAACAAGCAGGAAGAGAGAGACAGCUGGCCGCUGACAACAGGCUGAAUGGUGAAGAGCGCCAUGUGGGGUGGAGGAGGAAUGAUGGAGGAACUCCUCUGAGGAGAC
rnacentral:lncRNA from 12 species